GACGUAGGGGGCGAGCGUUGUCCGGAUUUAUUGGGCGUAAAGCGCGCGCAGGCGACUCGGAUAGUCGGGUGUGAAAAUCCGGGGCUCAACCCCGGACCUGCAUCCGAUACUUCCGGACUGGAGGCAGGUAGGGGAGAGCGGAAUUCCCGGUGUAGCGGUGAAAUGCGCAGAUAUCGGGAAGAACACCGGUGGCGAAGGCGGCUCUCUGGACCUGUCCUGACGCUCAGGCGCGAAAGCUAGGGGAGCGAACAGG
rnacentral:rRNA from 1 species